UACGAGUGCUUCGAGCGUUUAUCCCGGAAUCAUUUGGGCGUAAAGGGUGUGUAGGCGGCGAUGUUAGUCUCGCGUUAAAUUCUCCGGCUCAACCGGGGAGCUGCGUGGGAAACGGCAUUGCUUUGAGGAUGGAAGGGGUCUCUGGCAACUCAUGGUGUAGCGGUGAAAUGCGUUGAUAUCAGGAGGAACACCUGUGGCGAAAGCGG
rnacentral:rRNA from 1 species